rnacentral:lncRNA from 1 species
GAGCUGACAAUCUAAUAAUGGCGUGUAGGGAAUGAUGGAUAGCUGCCUCUCAGGAGAAAUGAGGAGCACAAAGAUAAAAAAGAAAUAUUUUCAGAUGUCUAGAGGCCCUGCCAAUGGCAGAUCUUUUUUUUUUUUUUAAAUUUUAAUUUUUUUUUUUUUUUUUUUUUUUUUUUUUUUUUUUUUUUUUUUUUUUUUUUUUUUUUUUUUUUUUCUUUUUUUUUUUUUUUUUUUUUUUUUUUUUUUUUUUUUUUUUUUUUUUUUUUUUUUUUUUUUUCCCCCCCCCCCCCCCCCCCCCCGUGUGCAGUUCUAUCUACCUGUCUAUCCAUCUAAAUUGUAGUAAGUUCCUCUGGAGGUUUGGGGUAGAGAGAAAACUUAUGAUUUCUACCCAGCUAAAAAUAUUGCUAUUGAAGAGAAUCAACAUGCUGUUGCUUUUGAGAAGAUACGGAUAAGGAGAGGGUACUGUGGAGGAGAGUAGUGGCAGGUCAGGCAGGGGAAGAAACACACAUGGGUG